GACUUGGGGAGGGGGGGUGGGGCGUCAGUACAACACUGGCAUACAGAUGUCACAAUUCCUGUGUCACCAAUCAUCUACGCUAUCUUGACUGGAGUCCCAGAACACAGUUUAUCCAUGAAUCAAUAUAACUAUUAAUAUUUUUUCCUACUUAGUCAUUUAUAAAGGUUUGAGCCCUUUUUUUCAUGGAGGGUACAGCCGAUGGAAAUAUUCUGAAAACCCUGUUUGAUAUUAUUUCAGGACACUUGGAAGUUUCGAUGCCGACUUGUGAAAGGAGAAAGAAUAAACCUUUGAAAGAGCCCUUCAGGGCUGGAGAGGUGGCUCAGCGGUUAAGAGCACUGAUUGCUCUUCCGGAGGUCCUGAGUUCAAAUCCCAGCAACCACAUGAUGGCUCACAACCAUCUGUAAUGGGAUCUGGUGCCCUCUUCUGGUGUGUCUGAAGAUAGCUACAGUGUACUCAUAUAAAUAA
rnacentral:lncRNA from 1 species